CGGUCUAAGCCAAGUGGCUACUGCGACAGAAUCGAAAUCUGUUUCUCUUCGAAUGUGCAGGUUCGAAACCUGCUGAAUGA